rnacentral:tRNA from 1 species
GGCCCCAUCGUCUAGCCCGGCCUAGGACGCCGCCCUCUCAAGGCGGAAACGCGGGUUCGAAUCCCGCUGGGGCCA